rnacentral:lncRNA from 1 species
AUGCUCUGCAAUGCCUUGGCUAUGAAAGCUGUGGGAGAGGCAACGCUUCUUCCCAUGGCCGCUCUGUUCAGCGGGGCCCUUCUCCAUUCCCUGGUGCCUGACAUCAGUAAAGCUCCACCAGCUCCUGGGGGACGGUGGCAGUGCUGUGCUGGGGACACCAACCCUUGCCCUCCUCUCCCACGGGGUCACUGGGUAGCGAGUGGCUUCCAUGGCAGAGGAUGGAGGAGAAAUGGUGGCAAAUGUGUAGAAAUGGCACCACCUGGAAAUGGCUGCAUACUGGGGGCUUCCUGCCUGCUGCAGGCACCUCUUGGUGGGAGUUUGGGAAGAGCGUUACUGGUUUCAAAGGAACUUAUAGGUGCUUUCAGCAGGGAUGAUAUCAGAGUACUGGGAGCAUGGCAGUAUCUAAGGGAAUGUCCUGUUACAUGUGGACCACCAGCAUCCCUACGUGUCAGCCCCCGGCUGGUAACUUGCUGUUUUGCUCUCUUUUGGCCUCUUGCAGCUUUGUCUGGUCUGGGUGUGCUGCAGGUUCAGUUGGGUGGGCAGGGAGAGAACUUCAAAAAGCUCCAAAAAACUCCAUCCCCUCCAAAAGCUGCUGUACGGGACACUGUUCUCUGGCUGGCCUUACAUAUGGCCAGGACUGGUGCUACUCCUGUUUCCAAACUCUCUGAUUUUGCAUGUGGCUCCCCAGCACAUCAGUGCAGAAAGGUGUUCAUCCACCAAAUCACCUCUGUUGUCACCUCAGGAAGUCCUUAGCUGUCCCUUCUGCCUUGACUGCAGCCCCAGGACUGUUGGGUCUGGGCUGUGUCUCUGGGGCUGGUGCCAGGGCUUGGGGCAGAAGCAGUGCUGCAAACCUAGACGGGCACCAGGUGCCCACGCACCACCUGAGGAGGCUGAAGGCACCCACUGGUUAUGUGCUGGUGAUCUGCCUCUGCUAACACUGCCAAAAGCACAAAUCAAGAGCUUUUGUAGCUCCUCUGUUGGUAUGGAGCAGGGGGUGGGAAGCUGGAGCUGAUAAAGAGCCUUGCUGGGAGGGAGUAUUCCCACCCUCUGGAGUCCUGUGCUUUUGGCCAUGUUCUUGUGCUAAUCUGGAAAAGCUUCCUGGAAAUAUUGAAACCAGCUGCCCUUUUAAUUAGGGCUGGGAAUGUUUAUAUUACUGAAAGUGUCAAAUUGCUUCAUUACAACAAAAACAGGAGACACUUUGAUCCAGAAAAUUAGAUGACUUCAGCUUUGUGAGAAGCUGGAGCUCUCCUAAGUAUCUGAGAAAGAAGGCAGAGGACAAUGCAGCAGUGGAUGCUCUCAGCUCUGACGUGUGGGCAUGUGUUCAGGGGUAAGCUGAGCGGCGUUAGUCAGCGUGGUGUCUCAGGCUAUGAGCAAAGGUCUCAGGUUCUGCCAAGCAACAUGGUUAAAGUGGAAAAUUCACAACCAAGUAAAUUGUAAAACAAUUGUGUGCAUUGGAAACAAUACCAAUGUUUUUCAAAAAUAAAUGGUUUUGUCACAAGUCCGUUUUUUAUUAU